rnacentral:lncRNA from 1 species
CAAUGUUUAGCAUCAAGUCCUACAUGUGGGAAGUGAUUUAUCAACAAGAUUACAGGCUGGAGCACUGUGAAAAUUGGACUCCAAGGUGCCAUAAUUCUUUGGAAAAUGCCAGCCACGGACAUUGUCUUUUUCCCUGAGAAACUAAAGAACAGCGGGCACUGAAAAAAAUCAGAGUGGUUGAACUGCUUGGAGGCUGCAGUCAGUAGUCCCACUAAAGCUGGAGCAAGAAGGAAAGAAACCCCAGCCAUACGCAGCAGGUAUAAAAGAAUGUUUGAUUCUUCUGACAAGUACUAUAAGAUUUAAUAUCUUUGCUGCUGGACCCAAUAUUGUAUCACAGGCAUCACUGGUGUUGUGCUUCCCAGCAUGCCCUAGCAUUCCUUCAAGCAAACAUUCACAGCAGCAGAAAGUCCAAGAAAAGGCUUACUCCCUUGAGGAUCAAGAAGAAAGCAACAGUGAAGAAAGGUAUAGUAGCUAUUAA